rnacentral:misc_RNA from 1 species
GCGAAAUGCGAUAAGUAAUGUGAAUUGCAGAAUUCAGUGAAUCAUCGAAUCUUUGAACGCACCUUGUGCUCCUUGGUAUUCCUUGGAGCAUGCCUGUUUGAGUAUCAUGAAAUCUUCAAAGUAAAUCUUUUGUUAACUCAAUUGGUUUCUACUUUGGUAUUGGAGGUCUUUGCAGCUUCACACCUGCUCCUCUUUGUUCAUUAGCUGGAUCUCAGUGUUAUGCUUGGUUCCACUCGGCGUGAUAAGUUAUCUAUCGCUGAGGACACUGUAAAAGGUGGCCAAGGUAAAUGCAGAUGAACCGCUUCUAAUAGUCCAUUGACUUGGACAAUACUUUUAUGAUCUGAUCUCAAAUCAGGUAGGACUACCCGCUGAACUUAA